UAGAAAUAGAAAUAAGAAAAAUAAAUAAAAAUGAAAAAAGGGCAGGUCGGCCUAUCUUCCUUUUGCGGUUCGGCGCACAUUCCCUUCACAUGAGUACGUGACCACACCAUGUGUAUUUUUUUCAUUUAUUUUGUUUAUUUCCCAAGCCGUAUACUCAUUUCCAUGAUGUCAGCAUGCAAACCAGUUGUUCCCACACCAAUACCUGAUUUGCUGCUGGGUGUGCUCGACACGCUAGAUGACUUUCCCAGCUCGAUUUCGAUCUGGAUUCUGUUGCCGAGUAUUGCGUGAAGCCCCUGAUCUUAUGCCCGUU
rnacentral:lncRNA from 7 species